rnacentral:misc_RNA from 1 species
AAAAGACAAGCUUCUGGGUAACCGGUUUGGAAAGUCAUAUUAGUAAUCAUGGUGUUAGAAGAUAUUCCUCUACACUGGGGCGACGUUUGUGUUAUUGUUGGAUAUUUCCUUUGUGUCCUCGGUGUCGGUUUGUGGUCUUCCAAGAACAGCAAUCGGAACAGCAUCAGUGGCUACUUUCUGGCCAGCAGAAAUAUGCAUUGGAUCCCCGUGGGAGCUUCUUUGUUCGCCAGCAAUAUUGGUAGUGGUCAUUUCAUUGGUUUAGCUGGUUCAGGGGCAGUAUCUGGUAUUGGAAUAGCUGGAUUUGAGCUCAACGCUAUGUUUGUAAUGUUAAUAUUGGGCUGGCUCUUUGUUCCCGUCUACACUGCUGCUGGGGUGUACACUAUGCCAGAAUAUCUCAGGAAAAGAUUCGGAGGACAACGUAUAAGAAUUUAUUUGUCAACAUUAGCACUGUUACUCUAUGUCUUCACUAAGAUAUCAGCUGAUCUCUAUGCAGGUGCUAUCUUUAUUGAAGAAGCCUUGAAGUGGAAUCUCUACGUAGCCAUUAUUGUCUUGUUAGCUGUAGCAGCUAUCUUCACUGUAGCGGGUGGGCUGACUGCAGUUAUUUGGACAGACUUUGUACAGACUAUUAUCAUGAUAGCUGGAGCUUUUGCUUUAAUGGUUAUUAGUUUCGUGAAGGUUGGUGGCUAUCAAGAACUAGUCCACCAGUUCGCCACCAAAAUACCCAACGAGACAGUAAUUGGCUACAACUCGAAGAACGUCUCCUGUAGUGAAAUCCCAGGGAACUACAUGCAUUUAUUAAGAUCAGCCUAUGACCCCGAACUUCCGUGGACAGGAAUGGUCUUCGGAUUAACUAUUUCAGCCGUUUGGUAUUGGUGCUCUGACCAGGUUAUUGUUCAAAGAGUCUUGUCAGCUAAAAACGUAUCACAUGCCAAAAUGGGCUGUAUUGUUGCUGGUUAUCUGAAGUUUCUACCCAUGUUCUUACUUGUGUUUCCUGGAAUGGCCGCUAGAGUACUCUUUACAGAUCAGAUUGGCUGCUCAAGACCAGAAGCUUGUUACGCUGCUUGUAAAAAUAAAGGUGGAUGUUCAAAUAUUGCUUAUCCUCUCUUGGUGUUGGAAUUAAUGCCACCUGGCGCCAGAGGUCUGAUGUUAUCUGUGAUGCUGGCGGCUUUGAUGUCGUCACUCACGUCCAUCUUCAACAGUAGCUCUACCAUUUUCACCAUAGACAUCUGGACAAGAAUCAGGAAGCAAGCAAAAGAAAUGGAACUUUUAAUUGUUGGAAGGGUUUUUGUCCUAGUUCAAGUGGUGGUCAGCAUUUUGUGGAUUCCGAUCAUUCAGGCUGCUCACAGUAGCCAACUUUUCCAUUACAUCCAGAGCGUCACUGCAUAUUUAGCGCCACCUGUCUGUGCUGUUUACGUUUUGGCUGUUUUUUGGACCAGAACAAACGAGCGAGGAGCUUUUUAUGGUCUAAUGGUCGGACUAGUUGUUGGCUUGAUUCGAUUUACCUGGGAAUUUUCUUACACUGUUCCAUCCUGUGCCAGUGGUCAACCAGACCCUCGACCUUAUAUUCUGUCUAAAGUUCAUUAUCUACACUUUGGAUGUAUACUCUUCGUUAUCUCGUUUCUAGUUACCGUAACUGUCAGCCUUCUCACCCAACCAAUGGAUACGAAGCACGUGAGUAACCUAAAGUUCAUUAUCUACACUUUGGAUGUAUACUCUUCGUUAUAUCGUUUUUAGUUACCGUAACUGUCAGCCUUCUCACCCAACCAAUGGAUACGAAGCACGUGAGUAACCUUUUUUUUCCCCCAACAUUUCAGGAAUUGCUUAGAGGUCUAGAAAAGAAAUCACCGUUUUAUU